rnacentral:rRNA from 1 species
UACGGAGGGGGCAAGCGUUGUUCGGAAUUACUGGGCGUAAAGGGCGCGCAGGCGGCUGCUCAAGUCAGGCGUGAAAGGCCUGGGCUCAACCCGGGAAUUGCGCUUGAGACUGGGCUGGCUUGAGUGCGGGAGAGGAUGGUGGGAUUCCCGGUGUAGAGGUGAAAUUCGUAGAUAUCGAGAGGAACACCGGUGGCGAAGGCGGCCUUCUGGACAGUGACUGACGCUGAGACGCGAAAGCGUGGGGAGCAAACAGG